ACCAGCUCUCCUGCUCCUUCCACCUCAGGGCCCUCUUAGGGUUGCCUCUUACAUUCUUUCCAGGGCUUAGCAGACAGGAACAGGGAGGGUCGGGUUUAGGCCAUCUUACCCAGACCGGAAGUCUCUAAGUGUUUGAUUGAGUGUUUGUUUGAAGAAAGUGAUGAACCCAGGACCUCGAGCCAGGAAGAUUUUUCCCGGUGAAAAGCAGAGGGAUUGACUCACGCUCGGUUCUGAGUUCCAGGCCUGACUCCAGGGCUCACCAGCUUCUUCCACAACCCGCACAACUUGAACGCUUGGUAGCAUCUCCACGCAGCAGUGGGCACCCUGGCUUCUGGAGGAGCCCAGGCUGCAUUUACCCCUCCAUGGUGCAUCUCAUAGGAUCAACUGGACCCGCGAAAGGCACUGGCUGCGGAAAAGCAGCCAACUGCUCCCCAGCGAAGGGGAUGGCCGGAAGCGAGGAGAGGGAGAAGCCCCAGCAGAGACCCCAGGAGGAAAAGACCCCACAACGGGGCCACUGGGAACCCAUGAUGUUGGUUACCAAUGUGAUUGGAGGUUCGGAACGACGGACGUGUGGCCCUGAAGUGGGAAACAGAAAAGCUGAAGGGCGAGACCUGGGAGGGAGCCCCCCACCCCCGCGGACUCCAGAGACCCAACCUUCCUUCCCUGCGCUCCGGCCGGACGUUCUCCCUGCCCCUGUGGCCGAGCCUGGCACCACUCCAAACCGUCUCCUUGGAAAAGCAACUUCAGCCCCAGUGCCUGUCCCUGCUACACCCAACGUUCCUGUCUGGAAAAGAGUUGCUCUUUAUUCAGCACGUGGACCCUCAGCCUGCUGAGUGGACAGGAAACCAUCUGUCAUUUAGGGUUCCUGCUCCCAACUCCCCCCAACAGCUGUCACCACCACCGUGGUUGUGCAAAGGUCCCAGGCCUUUCAGAGUGGGCCCUGAUCACUGUCCAUCCUGGCCGGGUCUGCUGAAACAAACAUGGUCACAAUCUCGUGGUACUUUCUGCCUCGUGGCUCUGUGUCCACACUGGAGAGACUAGGACCCAAUCCUGGGGCCCCUCCCACAGGCGCCAUAUGGCUAUUCCCCUCAGAGACGCACCAGGCCAGCCCCACUGCCCUCAGGACCAACCUCCAACUUCUCCUCGGCUUGGGAUCUCCGGUUUCUCUCUUUGUCAAGGCACCCUGAUAUGGUUCGGCUCUGUUCCCACCCAAAUCUCAUCUCGAUUUGUAUCCCCACGUGUCAAGGGAGGGACCUGUAAUCCCCAUGUGUCGAGGGAGGGAGGUGAUUGGAUUAUGGGGGCGGUUCCCCCAUGCUGUUCUCAGGACGGUGAGUGAGUGAGUUCUCACGACAUCUGGUGGUUUUAUAAGUGUUUGGCAAGUUCCUUCGCUCACUCUUCUCUCUCCUGCCACCUUGUGAAGGAGGUAUUUGCUUCCCCUUCACCUUCCGCCAUGACUGUAAGUUUCCUGAGGCCUUCCCAGCCAUGCAAAACUGUGAGUCAAUUAAACCUCUUUCCCGGCCGGGCGUGAUGGCUCAUGCCUGUAAUCCCAGCACUUUGGGAGGCCGAGGCAGGUGGAUCACUUGAGGUCAGGAGUUCGAGACCAGCCUGGCCAACAUAGAAACCCCAUCUCUACUAAAAAUACAAAAAAUUAGCUGAGUGUGGUGGCGGGCGCCUGUAAUUCCAGCUACUCAGGAGGCUGAGGCAGGAGAAUCACUGGAACCCAGAAGACGGAGGUUGCGGUGAGCCAAGAUCAUGCCAUUGCACUCCAGCCUGGGCAACAAGAGGGAAACUCCAUCUCAAAAUAAAUAAAUAAAUAAAAAUAAAAA